CGGAAGCAGCCAGAUGCGACGACUCCCGCAGCUGUUUCGAAGAAUGUGUCCGUGGAAAGGCGUGCAGUACCGUUUGUGCUCAAGAUAUUUGUUCUUCAAAUCCUAGAAGAACAGCUUGUGAUGGGAUGGAUGCUCUGCCAUACACAAUCACUGUGCAGCAGCUUUGAUGGAAGCAGGAACUACUCCAUAGCAGGCUUCAAAAGAGUCACGAACACAAGGUAGAUGUGAUGGUAUCAAGUGUUUGCCGCUCGCACCACGGAAGCUGUGUUGGAAGAAAACGAGUGUUAAAGUAUCUCAUGGUUUUUUUUAAUAUCAUUGACUAUUGU